CCUGCUUUAGCUCAGUUGGCGGAGCGCGAGACUAUAAGGGAUUCCAGAUUAUCUCGAUUUCACCUGUUCGACCCAGGUAACAAGGA